rnacentral:rRNA from 1 species
AGCCUUAAGAUCUGAGAUUCGAUUUAAGGUAAAACCUGCCCAGUGCUAAAUUGUAAACGGCCGCAGUACCUUGACUGUGCGAAGGUAGCAUAAUCAUUUGGCUUUUAAAUGGAGUCGGGUAUGAAUGGGAAAAUGUGGCUGAGCUGUCUCCCCCUUUACUCUUCUUAAUUUACUGAAUAGGUGAAAAUUCCUAUUAAUAGAAAAAAGACGAGAAGACCCUAGGAGUUUUUAUUAGAGCUGUCUUCAUGAUAGUGCCAUUUUUGUUGGGGCGACAAAAGGAAAGUAGAUAGAUCUCCUUUUAGAAAUAGGCCGACUUUAGUAAGAGAAAAUAAACUACCCUAGGGAUAACAGCGUAAUCUAUUUUUAUAGGUUUGCGACCUCGAUGUUGGACUAGGAAUUUAUUAGGCUAGCCGCCUAGUUAUUAAUGUUCUGUUCGAACUUAAACUCCUACAU